rnacentral:hammerhead_ribozyme from 1 species
AUCCAGAUGACGUGUCCCAAAUAGGAUAAAACGCUCGUCCUGGGU